UACGAAGGGUGCUAGCGUUGUUCGGAAUCAUUGGGCGUAAAGCGUGCGUAGGCGGUUUAGUAAGUCAACUGUGAAAGCCCAAGGCUCAACCUUGGAAUUGCAGCUGAAACUGUUAGACUAGAGUAUGAAGAGGGAUAGUGGAAUUCCUAGUGUAGGGGUGAAAUCCGUAGAUAUUAGGAGGAACACCGGUGGCGAAAGCGACUAUCUAUGUCAUCACUGACGCUGUUGCACGAAAGCGUGGGUAGCAAACAGG
rnacentral:rRNA from 1 species